rnacentral:rRNA from 1 species
UACGGGGGGGGCAAGCGUUGUUCGGAAUUACUGGGCGUAAAGGGCUCGUAGGCGGCCAACUAAGUCAGACGUGAAAUCCCUCGGCUUAACCGGGGAACUGCAUCUGAUACUGGAUGGCUUGAGAUUGGGAGAGGGAUGCGGAAUUCCAGGUGUAGCGGUGAAAUGCGUAGAUAUCAGGAGGAACACCGGUGGCGAAGGCGGCCCUCUGGACGGUGACUGACGCUGAGACGCGAAAGCGUGGGGAGCAAACAGG